rnacentral:lncRNA from 1 species
AAAUGUUGACUCGGUUUCAAAAAUGUUCAUAAAACGUUGCAUUAUAAUAUGAUUUGAUCUUAGUUUAAAAAUGUUCAUAAAAUCUUGCAUUAUAAUUCACGUAAACAAAAAUGUUCAUAAAACGAUUUGAUAGAUGUCGAACUUAUUUUGUUGCCUUUUACAAAAGAGGUAAUAUUCUGGCUGUCAUAAAUGCCCGUUUUUUUUUCAAAUCGGAUUGUAAUUGUAAGCAUAUAGUAUAAUAUAUAUGACCAAUGGCAUUUGGUUGUAAUUAUUCUAGGGAACAAAGGGUUUUUUGAAAAAGUUAGUGAGAAUGCAUGAGGUGAUGACACAUAGGAAAUGACACUCAUGUAAUAAACACAUGAGGCCAAGGUUUAUUUCUUUGAAUGUUCCUCCUUUAAUAAGAAAGGGAUCUCUCUCUCUCUUUUGUUUUCUGCGUUAAUGUUCACUCUUGUGAAUUAGCCAUUGAGUAAUUUGCGGCGCUUAAUUUGGCUCUUCGUCGAAUAUGAGAGACAGAGACCCCAACAAAUAAUGUUUUUUUAUGAACCACCAAAUAAUGUUUUUUAUGAACCAACAAAUAAUGUUUAAUUAUGAGUUUUUUUUUUGUUCUUCUCUUACUUAUAAAAACUGGAAAAUUUGGAAUAACGAAUUAUAUAAAUAGAUGCAACCAAGUGUAAGACAAAAAUUAAUGUCAGCGAAAAUGACGAAACACCAAAGAUUUUUUGAGCAAUCUUUUACAGAAAAAGGAAACAUAGUAUAGUAUAAGGUUUUUUUUUAUUUUUUUAUUUUUGAAACACGGUAUAAGGUUAACUAAUGAACUUAGUAACGAUAAUGGACUUGAAUUUAUUCAAGUUUUGUUAGCAAAUACUAAUGUUGAUUGAUUUAACUUUGAAGUAAGAAAUUUACAAUUAUGGUCAAAUCAUCCAUAAAGCAUCAAAUGAUUAAGCUCAACCCUCAACGAAAUGUCCAAAGGAUAUUCUCAUCGACAAUAUGUGUCGUAUAGUUUGACGUAAAUGUCGGUAAAAAUAAUAUUCCAUCAUAUUAAAAAACACAUUAAAAUUACUAUAAUAAAUAUAUUAUUUUUUGUAAUUUUUAAUAAUUUUUAAUCAAUAAUAAUUCAAUAAAGUUAAUUAAUUUUUCGAAGUUUAUAAUUUUUUCAUAGAAAACACAAAAA